CGCUAACUAACGCUAACCUCACGUCUCCUGUGGAAAGCGGUGGCAAAGACGACGGCCGAGGUGUCUGUACGUCCUGUGUCUGUGUGACAGAAAAGAACGCCAUGCCAGGAGAUAAAAGUGAUGAUAAAAGAAUUACGGUUGCCAUGGAAACCCAGGAGCAUGAAGAGCUUUCCAUUGCCCUCUGGUGGACAUUGCUUUGAAUGCAUCAGAUGUACGAAAGGAAACAGACACCUUCACCAGACGGACAGACUUCUCUCUCUCUCUCUCUCACUCAAACACACACACACACACACACACACACACACACACACACACACUGUAUAUUGAUGGUGAUUCACAGUGUAAGCAGCUGUUUUCCUACAUGAAUGGAUAAGUGGCAUAGGACUGAGAUGAAAGUGGGAAUGUGCGCUUUCUCGUGUUUGUGUGUGUGUGUGUGUGUGUGUGUGUGUGUGUGUGUGUGGCAUGAGCCAGGCGGGCCACACAUGGAUUUGAUUAGCACUGUGUGACACAACCUCGCCACACACACAUACACACACUUGCAUUACCCAUAACCCCCUGCCCUCCAGCAGAGCCCGGCAGUGUGGCGGCAGCAGCAAUUUGAAUGGCUCGUCAGUUCCCUCUCUCUCUCCCUCUCUCUCCCACCUCUCUCGCUCCCUCUUUCUCUCUCUCUCCCUCUCUCUCCCACCUCUCUCGCUCCCUCUUUCUCUCUCUCUCUCCCACCUCUCUCGCUCCCUCUUUCUCUCUCUCUCCCUCUCUCUCCCACCUCUCUCGCUCCCUCUUUCUCUCUCUCUCUCCCACCUCUCUCGCUCCAUCUUUCUCUCUCUCUCUCUCUCUCUCCCCCUCUUUCUCUCCCACCUCUCCCUCUUUCUCUCUCUCUCCCUCUCCCUCCCCUUCCUCACCAUCUCUCUCUCCCUCCGCCCCCCUCUCUCCCCCUCUCUCUCUUACAGCCUUGUUCCUCCUCCUCCUCCUUCUGCUCUCACAUCAUCACCAGUUUUGAAAUAUACAGUGUGUAAAUCAAAUGCUGAGCCAGCUAUACUUGUUUGGUGUUCAAUGCCAAUAAGUGUGUGUGUGUGUGUGUGUGUGUGUG